AGAGUUUGAUUCUGGCUCAGGACGAACGCUGGCGGCGUGCUUAACACAUGCAAGUCGAACGGAAAGGCCCUUCGGGGGUGCUCGAGUGGCGAACGGGUGAGUAACACGUGGGUGAUCUGCUGCACUUUGGGAUAAGCCUGGGAAACUGGGUCUAAUACCGAAUAUGACCGCAUUCUUCAUGGGGGUGUGGUGGAAAGCUUUUGCGGUGUGGGAUGGGCCGCGGCCUAUCAGCUUGUUGGUGGGGUAAUGGCCUACCAAGGCGACGACGGGUAGCCGGCCUGAGAGGGUGACCGGCCACACUGGGACUGAGAUACGGCCCAGACUCCUACGGGAGGCAGCAGUGGGGGGGAAUAUUGCACAAUGGGCGCAAGCCUGAUGCAGCGACGCCGCGUGAGGGAUGACGGCCUUCGGGUUGUAAACCUCUUUCAGCACAGACGAAGCGCAAGUGACGGUAUGUGCAGAAGAAGGACCGGCCAACUACGUGCCAGCAGCCGCGGUAAUACGUAGGGUCCGAGCGUUGUCCGGAAUUACUGGGCGUAAAGAGCUCGUAGGUGGUUUGUCGCGUUGUUCGUGAAAACUCACAGCUUAACUGUGGGCGUGCGGGCGAUACGGGCAGACUUGAGUACUGCAGGGGGAGACUGGAAUUCCUGGUGUAGCGGUGGAAUGCGCAGAUAUCAGGAGGAACACCGGUGGCGAAGGCGGGUCUCUGGGCAGUAACUGACGCUGAGGAGCGAAAGCGUGGGGAGCGAACAGGAUUAGAUACCCUGGUAGUCCACGCCGUAAACGGUGGGUACUAGGUGUGGGUUUCCUUCCUUGGGAUCCGUGCCGUAGCUAACGCAUUAAGUACCCCGCCUGGGGGAGUACGGCCGCAAGGCUAAAACUCAAAGAAAUUGACGGGGGGCCCGCACAAGCGGCGGAGCAUGUGGAUUAAUUCGAUGCAACGCGAAGAACCUUACCUGGGUUUGACAUGCACAGGACGCCAGUAGAGAUAUUGGUUCCCUUGUGGCCUGUGUGCAGGUGGUGCAUGGCUGUCGUCAGCUCGUGUCGUGAGAUGUUGGGUUAAGUCCCGCAACGAGCGCAACCCUUGUCCUAUGUUGCCAGCGGGUUAUGCCGGGGACUCGUAGGAGACUGCCGGGGUCAACUCGGAGGAAGGUGGGGAUGACGUCAAGUCAUCAUGCCCCCCCUUAUGUCCAGGGCUUCACACAUGCUACAAUGGCCGGUACAAAGGGCUGCGAUGCCGUGAGGUGGAGCGAAUCCUUGUAAAGCCGGUCUCAGUUCGGAUCGGGGGUCUGCAACUCGACCCCGUGAAGUCGGAGUCGCUAGUAAUCGCAGAUCAGCAACGCUGCGGUGAAUACGUUCCCGGGCCUUGUACACACCGCCCGUCACGUCAUGAAAGUCGGUAACACCCGAAGCCGGUGGCCUAACCCUUGUGGAGGGAGCCGUCGAAGGUGGGAUCGGCGAUUGGGACGAAGUCGUAACAAGGUAGCCGUACCGGAAGGUGCGGCUG
rnacentral:rRNA from 1 species